UCUAAUAUGGCAGAUUAGUGCAAUGAAUUUAAGCUUCAUAUAGAAAGUUUUUAACUUUUUUUAGAA
rnacentral:tRNA from 1 species